rnacentral:lncRNA from 1 species
AGAGUCAAUGGAGAAAAUGCCCGGGUACAUGGGCAUUUAGCAGACCAGGAAAGGACUGAAAAGCAGAUCUGAACAGCAGAAAGUGUGGAGAAGAGAUUGGAGUGAGGCAAUACAUGGGAGCAAGACUGCAGGCUGGACGAUGGAUCAGGAAUUCAUUGCAAUAAUCAGGCCCAGGGAUAACCAGGACCUACUGACAGCUACUACAUGAGUGAGCUCGGAAGUCGGUCCUAACUCAGCUGUAGCCUUCUGGAGACUGCAGUCCCUCUGGACAGCUUAACUGCAACUUCAUGAGAGACCUUGAACCUAAACUACCAGGGACCCAAAUUUCUGACCCACAGAAACUAUGAGACAAAGUUUUUUGCUAUAAGUUGGUAAAUUUGUUAUUUACCAAUUUUUGGGGGUAAUUUGUUAUACAUACAUGGAUAACUAAUUCAUCAGAUUAAUGAAAGUGAAGGGAAGGUGGUGAUCGGUUUCCAGGACCCAGCACAGUUGGAUAACUUUCUCCAGCAGCCCUAGACAACUCCAGACAAUAUGCUUGUCGACUUUAUAUGCCAUUGAUAUUAUGCGAUGUCCAAUAAUAUCUUUUUUUAAUAGUAUUUUUUAUUUUUUUCUUUCUAAUUUUGCUGUUUUAAGGCUGUGGUUCCCAGGUUAGGGGUUGAAUCAGAGCUGUAGCUGCCAGCCUAAGCCAUAGCCACAGAAACACAGGAUCCAAGCCGCGUCUGCGACCUAUACCACAGCUCACGGCAACGCCGGAUCCUUAACCCACUGAGUGAGGCCAGGGACUGAACCCACAUCCUCAUGGACCCUAGUAGGGUUCGUUAACCACUGAGCCACGAAGGGAACUCCUUCGAUAGUAUCUUUUGAUAAAAUAAUUUUGCCAAAAUCUUAUUUAACUUUCUUAAUGAGCUAUUAACCAUUAACACUAUGUCUGACUUUAAAAGCUUUUUGACAAGAAUGUGUCCUGUCACUGUUUUGACUUUAAAAAGCAUAGCUUGAAGUUCCCAUCAUGGCACGCAGAAAUGAAUCUGACUAGGAACCAUAAGGUUGUGAGUUUGAUCCCUGGCCUAUGCUCAGUGGGUUAAGGAUCCAGCGUUACCGUGAGCAAUGGUGUAGUUCGCAGAGGCGGCUCAGAUCUGGCGUUGCUAUGGCUGUGCUGUAGGCUGGCAGUUGUAGCUCCGAUUAGACCCCUAGUCUGGGAACCUCCAUGGGGCCCCCCAGGGGGCCCAAAAAAAAAAAAAAAAAAAAAAAAAAAAAUUUAAAUAAGUAAAAAGCAUAACUUUAUUUUUUUAUUUUUAUUUUAUUUUUUAAGGGCUGCACAUGUGGCAUAUGGAAGUUCUCAGGCUAGGGGUCAAAUAGGAGCUGCUGCUGCAGGCCUAUGCCACAGCCACAGCCACACCAGAUCCAAGCCUUACCUGUGGCCUAAACCACAGCUCAUGGCAAUGCUGGAUCCUUAACCCACAGAGCGAGGCCUGGGCUCGAACCCGAAACAUCAUGGUUACUAGUUGGAUUGGUUUCCACUUGUUCCCAUUGGUUCUGGGAACUCCAGAUAGCUUUAUAGUUUUGAUCACUUCUCUUACUUUUAGGAAGAAAUUUUAUCAAAGUUAUAUCAGUAAACAUUAUUUUGUGGGAUCUUCUUCCUCCAGAAAAAAUAUUUUUUGUGGUUACUAGAUUGGCCACCGAACUUUUUUCAAAAAUGGCACUAAAAUUUCAUUUGUUUGACUAAGUUUCAUAAUCUAUGUAAUGAAAUAGAUGUAAUGUACUGGGGGCCGGGGCAAAUGGACUACCAGUUUAAUAAAAACAUACAUCUUAGAGCCUCA